GCCAGGCCUGGUGGUGCACGCCUGCGAUCCCAGCAACUCAGGAGGCUGAGGCAGGAGGAUCGCAAGGUGGAGGCCAGCCUCAACAACUUGGCGAGGUCCUAAGCAACUCAGGGAGACCCUGUCUCUA
rnacentral:sRNA from 1 species